rnacentral:rRNA from 1 species
AACGAACGCUGGCGGCAUGCCUAACACAUGCAAGUCGAACGAGACCUUCGGGUCUAGUGGCGCACGGGUGCGUAACGCGUGGGAACCUGCCCUUAGGUUCGGAAUAACUCCCCGAAAGGGGUUCUAAUACCGGAUAAUGUCUUCGGACCAAAGAUUUAUCGCCUUUGGAUGGGCCCGCGUUGGAUUAGCUAGUUGGUAGGGUAAAAGCCUACCAAGGCGACGAUCCAUAGCUGGUCUGAGAGGAUGAUCAGCCACACUGGGACUGAGACACGGCCCAGACUCCUACGGGAAGCAGCAGUGGGGAAUAUUGGACAAUGGGCGAAAGCCUGAUCCAGCAAUGCCGCGUGAGUGAUGAAGGCCUUAGGGUUGUAAAGCUCUUUUACCCGGGAUGAUAAUGACAGUACCGGGAGAAUAAGCUCCGGCUAACUCCGUG